UACGGGGGGGGGCAAGCGUUGUCCGGAUUUAUUGGGCGUAAAGAGCUCGUAGGCGGCUUGUCGCGUCGAAUGUGAAAUCCCGAGGCUCAACUUCGGGCUUGCAUUCGAUACGGGCAGGCUAGAGUUCGGUAGGGGAGACUGGAAUUCCUGGUGUAGCGGUGAAAUGCGCAGAUAUCAGGAGGAACACCGGUGGCGAAGGCGGGUCUCUGGGCCGAUACUGACGCUGAGGAGCGAAAGCGUGGGGAGCGAACAGG
rnacentral:rRNA from 1 species